rnacentral:rRNA from 1 species
AUUGAACGCUGGCGGUAUGCUUAACACAUGCAAGUCGAACGGUAGCAGGCCUUCGGGCGCUGACGAGUGGCGGACGGGUGAGUAACGCGUAGGAAUCUGCCUCAUAGUGGGGGACAACGUGUGGAAACGCACGCUAAUACCGCAUACGCCCUACGGGGGAAAGCGGGGGACCUUCGGGCCUCGCGCUAUGAGAUGAGCCUGCGUUAGAUUAGCUAGUUGGUAGGGUAAAGGCCUACCAAGGCGACGAUCUAUAGCUGGUCUGAGAGGACGAUCAGCCACACUGGGACUGAGACACGGCCCAGACUCCUACGGGAGGCAGCAGUGGGGAAUAUUGGACAAUGGGCGCAAGCCUGAUCCAGCAAUACCGCGUGUGUGAAGAAGGCCCUAGGGUUGUAAAGCACUUUCAAUAGGGAGGAAAACCUGUCGGUCAAUACCCGGCAGCUUGACAUUACCUAUACAAGAAGCACCGGCUAACUCCGUGCCAGCCGCCGCGGUAA